rnacentral:rRNA from 1 species
UAAGGAAUAUUGGGCAAUGGAGGCAACUCUGACCCAGCCAUGCCGCGUGCAGGAUGACUGCCCUAUGGGUUGUAAACUGCUUUUGUAACAGAGAAAACCCUCGUUUGCGAACGAGGCUGAUAGUAUGUUAAGAAUAAGCAUCGGCUAACUCCGUGCCAGCAGCCGCGGUAAUACGGAGGAUGCAAGCGUUAUCCGGAUUCAUUGGGUUUAAAGGGUGCGUAGGUGGUCUUAUAAGUCAGUGGUGAAAGCCUGCAGCUUAACUGUAGAACAGCCAUUGAUACUGUAGGACUAGAGUACAGACGACGUUGGCGGAAUAUGACAUGUAGCGGUGAAAUGCUUAGAUAUGUCAUAGAACACCGAUUGCGAAGGCAGCUGACGAGACUGAAACUGACACUGAGGC